GAGCGGGGGAAAGAAUCUAGAGCAGGGUAGGAUGGGCUGAGCUCUAAGGUUCCCAAGCCAGGGGAGGGGCUGGCUGAGUCACCUACUGAAGGAAGACUUCAAGUGGGCUCUGAGGUGCCCCCGUCAUCUCCCCAUGGAGCCUGAGUUGGACUUCCUUGGAGUCUCCGAACAACUCCCGUCCGUCUUUCCGCUGGUGCCCUGCCACAGCAGCAUCAGCACUGGGGACACCUCUGUGACGCUCGGCUGCCUGAUCAAGGACUACAUCCCGGAGCUCGUGAACGUGACCUGGGACGCAGGGUCCCUGGAACAUAGCGUCAUGACCCUUCCUGCCACCUUAGACUCGACCUUAGGCCUCUAUACCACCGUCAGCCAGGUGACAACUGCCUCAGCUGAGUGGGCCACACAGAAGUUCACCUGCAGCGUGGAGCACGUGGGGGGUGCCCCUGUGAAAAGGAUUGUGCAUGAUAAAGCAGUGUGUGCCACCAACGUCACCCAGCCCACUGUGAAGCUGUACCACUCCUCCUGCAACCCCAGCGGCAAUACCCAGGCCACCAUCCAGCUCCUGUGCCUCAUCUCCGACUUCACCCCAGGUGACAUCACAGUCACCUGGUUGGUGGAUGGGCACUCAGACAAGAACAUGUUCCCACACAUCAGCCCCGCAAAACAGGAGCGCAACCUGUCCUCCGUCGUCAGCCAGCUCAACAUCACCCAGGGCGAGUGGGUAUCCCAAAAAACCUACACCUGCCAGGUCUACUAUCAAGGCUGCACAUUUCAGAAGCAUGCCCGCAACUGCCCAGAGUCCGAGCCCCGUGGUGUGAGCGUCUACCUGAUCCCGCCCAGCCCCCUUGACCUGUACCUCCACAAGUCGCCCAAGAUCACCUGCCUGGUGGUGGACCUGGCCAGCGACGACAGUGUGACCCUGCAGUGGUUCCGGGAGAGCAAGGGCCUCAUGGAAGACACCACGUGGAACAGCAAGCUCCAAUUCAACAUGACCUACACCAUCACAUCCACCCUGCCAGUGGAGGCUGACGACUGGAUCGAGGGCGAGACCUAUGAGUGCAGACUGAGCCACCCGCACCUGCCCAAGGACAUUGUGCGCACCAUCUCCAAGGGCAAUGGCAAGCGUGUUGUCCCCGAGGUCUACGUGUUCCUGCCACCUGAGGAGGAGCAGGGGAACAAGGACACGCUCACCCUCACCUGCCUGAUCCAGAACUUCUUCCCUGCGGACAUCUCGGUGCAGUGGCUGUGCAACGACUCCCUGAUUCCAACCGACAAGCAAGCCACCACGUGGCCCCUCAAGGCCAACAGUUCCAGCCGCACCUUCUUUGUCUUCAGCCGCCUGGAGGUCAGCCGAGCGGACUGGGAGAAGAGGAGCCAGUUCACCUGCCGAGUGGUCCACGAGGCUCUGUCAGGCUCUAGGACCCUCGAGAAAUCAGUGUCCAAAGCCCCUGGUAAUUGACGCCAUCCCUCCUGCCUCUCCCAGGGCUCCAUCCAUCCUGCUGGGAAGGGGAGGGUGCCGGCCAGCCCUUCCACUCAGUGGUGUCAAUAAACACUCCA